rnacentral:rRNA from 1 species
GAUGAACGCUGGCGGCGUGCUUAACACAUGCAAGUCGAACGAAGCACUUUAUUUGAUUUCCUUCGGGACUGAUUAUUUUGUGACUGAGUGGCGGACGGGUGAGUAACGCGUGGGUAACCUGCCUUGUACAGGGGGAUAACAGUUGGAAACGGCUGCUAAUACCGCAUAAGCGCACAGCAUCGCAUGAUGCAGUGUGAAAAACUCCGGUGGUAUAAGAUGGACCCGCGUUGGAUUAGCUAGUUGGUGAGGUAACGGCCCACCAAGGCGACGAUCCAUAGCCGAGCUGAGAGGGUGACCGGCCACAUUGGGACUGAGACACGGCCCAAACUCCUACGGGAGGCAGCAGUGGGGAAUAUUGCACAAUGGGCGAAAGCCUGAUGCAGCGACGCCGCGUGAGCGAAGAAGUAUUUCGGUAUGUAAAGCUCUAUCAGCAGGGAAGAUAAUGACGGUACCUGACUAAGAAGCACCGGCUAAAUACGUG